CUGAAGAAACCCACAGUACUUGCAUAUAUACAUGGAUGAACAUAUAUGUAUACAUACAUACUUCUGAAGUAGCAGUAAACAAAUAAUGCGUUCCUACCCAAAUUUCUUGCUGUCCCGAGGAGAUAAUUAUAAGAUAUGGGCUUUGCUUUCAUGGGAUAUUAUUACAUCAUAGCUUUUCUGUCUUGGACUUGUUGCCUUGCCAUUUUUGUUCCACAGGGCUGUGCUGCGGGCGGCGGAGGUGGCGGCGAGAAGUGAAGCUUGGGAGCAUGAGGAGGGCUGUAAGAGCUGCAAUGGAAGAUGGGAAGAAAAUGCAGGUGAAGAAAAGGUUGUCUUUUCAAAUGGGGCUUCUGUUGUCCAACUUCUGUUCCAUUGGUUUCUGAACGGGGGGGGGGGCGGUGGCGGUGCUGGUGGCGGUGUGAUAUUGGCGGGGACGGCUCAAUCUGUUUAUUUGUGACAUAAAUUUUCUCAGUCAGUGCUUUCUUUUGGCGGCUAAUUAUUAUCUUGAUGGGUGUUGCAUAUAUAUGGAAAGAGUUCAGAUUUCUUGGUUUGUUCUUACAUUCUUACAGUUAACCUAUACUUGUGUGUACUUUUAUUUCUUCAAAUCAUUGGAGAAAAGCCCAAAUUUCUUAGACUAUAGCUGAGAAAAAAAAUGAAUUUAAAUAAUUAUUUGGGUCUCAUAUUGAGAAUUUAAUGUUUACAGACUAAACCAUAUAGCUAGGUGCAUUUUUUGUUUUUUAUUUUU